UUGUGUACUGGCACUUACUUUUGAUGACUUAAUUUGGUGUAACUUGAAGACUUCUGUGUUCUAAGAGGAAAAAAGUAAAGCUCUAGCCUUCUUGUUCAUCCUCCCAAUUGGAAUUCAGGAGCCAAGCUACUAAGGUUUUGACACUGCUUAAAUGCCCCAAUUAUAUAGAUGAGACUUUGUCAUGAAACCAGUUCCUACCUAGUCUGAUUAAAAUAAAAGGUUAAACCAUUUUCAUGUUUUCAUUUGCACUUCAAGUGUUUACUUCUGAGAAUGAAAUAAAAUCAUUUAAGUAUUAUAUUUGGUAGAAUUCAUGUAAUUUUAAAGUAUGAGAGGAUCCAUUUUCUUCAAGGUAGAUUAAAAAUUACAGUGAUUUUCAUUGUCCUCAAUUCACAUCUCAGAUUUUUAAGUACUAUUGCAUUUUUGUUCAUUAUCUUCAUAUGACUCUGCU
rnacentral:lncRNA from 1 species